AGCUAAGAAAUUAGUAGUGGGGAGCUCCGGCGAGCCUGCCACGAGGUUCUCGUGAGAUCCACCACCUCCAUCCCAAGCGCCUGUGUCUGGCAGAGCAGGUGUGAGAAGAGGAGGUAGUCCUUCCCAUCGCCUGGAUAAUCAAGAGUUUGGGCCUGACCUUUGAGUACACAUCAGGAUAGUGAGGAGCCCGGUGAAAAGCACAGACUUUGGCUCUGAAACGGAUUAAUAAGGAACUUAGUGAUUUGGCCCGUGACCUUCCAGAACAAUGUUCUGCAGGUCCAGUUGGAGAUGACAUGUUUCAUUGGCAAGCCACAAUUAUGGGACCUAAUGACAGCCUAUAUCAAGGUGGUGUAUUCUUUUUGACAAUCCAUUUUCCUACAGACUACCCCUUCAAACCACCUAAGGUUGCAUUUACAACAAGAAUUUAUCAUCCAAAUAUUAACAGUAAUGGCAGCAUUUGUCUUGAUAUUCUAAGAUCACAGUGGUCUCCUGCUUUAACUAUUUCUAAAGUUCUUUUAUCCAUUUGUUCACUGCUAUGUGAUUCAAACCCAGAUGACCCCCUAGUGCCAGAGAUUGCACAGAUCUAUAAAACAGACAGAGAUAAGUACAACAGAAUAUCUCAGGAAUGGACUCAGAAGUAUGCCAUGUGAUGCUACCUUAAAGUCAGAAUAAUCUGCAUUAUAGCCGGAAUAAACUUUAAAUUACUGUUC